rnacentral:rRNA from 1 species
UACGGAGGGUGCAAGCGUUAUCCGGAUUCAUUGGGCGUAAAGGGUGCGUAGGCGGCGUGGUAAGUCGGGUGUGAAAUCUCGGAGCUUAACUCCGAAACUGCAUUCGAUACUGCCGUGCUUGAGGACUGGAGAGGAGACUGGAAUUUACGGUGUAGCGGUGAAAUGCGUAGAUAUCGUAAGGAAGACCAGUGGCGAAGGCGGGUCUCUGGACAGUUCCUGACGCUGAGGCACGAAGGCCAGGGGAGCAAACGGG